AGUGAACGCUGGCGGUAGGCCUAACACAUGCAAGUCGAACGGCAGCACAGUAAGAGCUUGCUCUUACGGGUGGCGAGUGGCGGACGGGUGAGGAAUACAUCGGAAUCUACUUUUUCGUGGGGGAUAACGUAGGGAAACUUACGCUAAUACCGCAUACGACCUACGGGUGAAAGCAGGGGAUCUUCUGACCUUGCGCGAUUGAAUGAGCCGAUGUCGGAUUAGCUAGUUGGCGGGGUAAAGGCCCACCAAGGCGACGAUCCGUAGCUGGUCUGAGAGGAUGAUCAGCCACACUGGAACUGAGACACGGCCCAGACUCCUACGGGAGGCAGCAGUGGGGAAUAUUGGACAAUGGGCGCAAGCCUGAUCCAGCCAUACCGCGUGGGUGAAGAAGGCCUUCGGGUGGUAAAGCCCUUUUGUUGGGAAAGAAAAGCAGCAGGUUAAUACCCCGCUGUUCUGACGGUACCCAAAGAACAAGCACCGGCUAACUUCGUG
rnacentral:rRNA from 1 species